UGGGGCGGGUGAGUCGGCCUCGCCAGUGCGCAUGGGCGAGGCCCGAGCCGCCGCUUCGGUCACAGUGAUCGCCACCGUUGCCCGGGGAUGGGUCCCUGAGACUUGGCGAAGUGGGAGCCCUGUGUGAUCGUGCGUCAGAGUCGGGGCUGAGACCAGUCCUGGCCAGGGCAGUUGCCAGGACGGUCUCCGGAGGCCGGGAUUCGCGGAGGGUCCACCAGCAGGAAGAAACCCCAGGAGGAAGAAACCUCAGACAGAUCGCCGGGGAGGCAGCGCGGGAUCCCAGCCUCAGGCGUGCGCGGACGGUGUGCGGGUCCUGAGAAGAGGAUUAGAAAAAGGCAACACAUCAAAAAGUUAAGAGGCAGAAAUAGCUUUUGUGUUGCUGGUAAAUUUAAUGAGAUCUAAGUUAUUCGACUGGCAAGUCUCAUCUCUUUGAGCAUCUCAGUGAAGACUGUCAGAAAUCAUCAAAAUUCAACACAACAGAGUAAAAGCUAAUAGCCUUUUUGUUAUACCAAAACUGAAAGGAUUGGUAAGACUCAAAAUGAAUGCUAUUACUGAAAAUCUUCUUUUAUCUAAUUCUUUGUGCAGUGAGUGAAAAUUGAACAAAUACAUAUCCUUUUUAUGGUGUUAAAAUGAAUUCUGACACUAUUAAACAAAUAUUCUUUGGUCCUAA